rnacentral:rRNA from 1 species
CGCUUAGGCGUGUGACUGCGUACCUUUUGUAUAAUGGGUCAGCGACUUAUAUUCUGUAGCAAGGUUAACCGAAUAGGGGAGCCGAAGGGAAACCGAGUCUUAACUGGGCGUUAAGUUGCAGGGUAUAGACCCGAAACCCGGUGAUCUAGCCAUGGGCAGGUUGAAGGUUGGGUAACACUAACUGGAGGACCGAACCGACUAAUGUUGAAAAAUUAGCGGAUGACUUGUGGCUGGGGGUGAAAGGCCAAUCAAACCGGGAGAUAGCUGGUUCUCCCCGAAAGCUAUUUAGGUAGCGCCUCGUGAAUUCAUCUCCGGGGGUAGAGCACUGUUUCGGCAAGGGGGUCAUCCCGACUUACCAACCCGAUGCAAACUGCGAAUACCGGAGAAUGUUAUCACGGGAGACACACGGCGGGUGCUAACGUCCGUCGUGAAGAGGGAAACAACCCAGACCGCCAGCUAAGGUCCCAAAGUCAUGGUUAAGUGGGAAACGAUGUGGGAAGGCCCAGACAGCCAGGAUGUUGGCUUAGAAGCAGCCAUCAUUUAAAGAAAGCGUAAUAGCUCACUGGUCGAGUCGGCCUGCGCGGAAGAUGUAACGGGGCUAAACCAUGCACCGAAGCUGCGGCAGCGACGCUUAUGCGUUGUUGGGUAGGGGAGCGUUCUGUAAGCCUGUGAAGGUGUGCUGUGAGGCAUGCUGGAGGUAUCAGAAGUGCGAAUGCUGACAUAAGUAACGAUAAAGCGGGUGAAAAGCCCGCUCGCCGGAAGACCAAGGGUUCCUGUCCAACGUUAAUCGGGGCAGGGUGAGUCGACCCCUAAGGCGAGGCCGAAAGGCGUAGUCGAUGGGAAACAGGUUAAUAUUCCUGUACUUGGUGUUACUGCGAAGGGGGGACGGAGAAGGCUAUGUUGGCCGGGCGACGGUUGUCCCGGUUUAAGCGUGUAGGCUGGUUUUCCAGGCAAAUCCGGAAAAUCAAGGCUGAGGCGUGAUGACGAGGCACUACGGUGCUGAAGCAACAAAUGCCCUGCUUCCAGGAAAAGCCUCUAAGCAUCAGGUAACAUCAAAUCGUACCCCAAACCGACACAGGUGGUCAGGUAGAGAAUACCAAGGCGCUUGAGAGAACUCGGGUGAAGGAACUAGGCAAAAUGGUGCCGUAACUUCGGGAGAAGGCA